UGCGUAUAUUUAUGUCAGCAUCAAAUAUUUUGGAGAUGAAACUUAUACGACAUCUUUGCUUUUUUUCAAUUCACCUUCUGCAAUAUAUAAGGUAUGAAAUAUUAGAGAUUUAUUAUAAUAUAUAUUUAAUCAUAAUUCACCACCAAGCAAACAAUAUAUUCCAUAAUAUAUUAAUCGACAAAAAUAGGACAUUAUGGCCCUAUAUAAAUGAUUUUCAGCGCCGGGUUAAUUAUCAGUUUCUACGUAACUAUUAUCUAUUUUUCAAAAUAUUAUGGCAUUCACUACGAUAAAAGAUAUCACUCCCCUAAAAGAAUCAUGGAGAUUGAAGGUGAGGAUUGUGAGGUUUUGGGAACAGCCGGAUUUCAAAGACCAUACUGUAAUCGGCACGCAUGAAUUAAUAUUGGUGGAUGAGAAGAAGGUGAAUUGAAAAAAAGCAAAGAUGCCGUAUAAGUUUCAUCUCCAAAAUAUUUGAUGCUGACAUAAAUAUACGCUGAUGAAGAAUUCAUAGAUAUUUUAAAAUUUCGGUUGGAAUUAGUGUAAUCAUUGAAAUAUAGUAAGAUUAAUAUUAUGUUCUUGGUUGUUUCCAUUAUUAUAGCCUAAAAUAUAGAAUAAUAGGCAUGUGAAUAUUAACCUCCCUUUUAAUACGGUUAUUAUUCUCAGGCCUAAACAAAUAUGUAAAAUAAUAUUAUGUUA